CAUUCACGAUGCCACUCCUAUUUCGAGUUGUGUCAAGGGAAGAGUGGAACCUUUUAAAGAAAUUGAUUAAAUAUUGUUCUUUAAAUAUUUUAUUCACAAUAGUCCUAUGGUAAUCGAUGUCUUUCAUAAUGGCGACCGGUCAUAUUCAUAUGACCCAAGAUGUGAACACAAUAGGUGGUUGAUGGCUUCAAGGAUCCACCUACACCCAAAUACCCGAGACAGGUCCGAAUACAGAAUUAUAAAUAAUGUCACGGGUCUGGGUCGAAUCUGAUUUUCACGAGUCUUUCACGAAUGUAAUUUUAACUGACUUGUCUGUAGGGCGGUACAGAUCAGAACGUGACUGCUGCAGUUGAGAGAGAUCGAGAAAUGUGAUAAUUUAUGCUGCUGCUCUUGCUUUUCAGGAGAGUGGAACGUGGCGCAUGUAGCAUGUUGUUGGUCAUAAGUCAUCAAAGCAGGAAUACCACAGUUUGAGUCAUAAUACCCGUAAACCACGGAAAUGGUUCCCAUCAUUUUUCCACCAUUCAUUUUUCGGUAGGGGUCAAGGGAAGAUAAUUUAACAUUGGCGAUUAUCGUCUGACUACACGAACGAUGAGCUAACAUUUAACUAGCGAGCUAAACGUUAGAUAAAUAUCCAUGCCCUGAUGGACUAACAUUGCCAAGUACGUCACCGCGUGGAAAAGUGACUUAACUUACACGAACGAUGGGCAGACCGGAAACCCAGUGACAACACUCAGGUCUGUAGCUGCCAUUUUCCAGUGGGAAAGAGAAAUGGCCCUGUAUUUACCAGAAAAGGUAGCUCAUCCACCAUGGCAGAAGAGGAAGAUCCAGAAGGUUGAUUGGGAAACAAGAACAAACAAUGAGGCAUGAGGAUUGGUUGUUGAGGGACUGCUUGUCACAUUGUCCAAGUCCAACAGGAGUGCAUCUCUCAGACCAUCUGGGGCAUGGACAUCCUGUACCAGUCUGAUCCGAGCAGGAGUAUCCAUUUGUACAGCAUAUCGAGCCUGUGGACGGACAGACAUGAGGUGUGACAUGUGGAACAUCAGGCACACCCCACGACAAGGAGUGCAUGAUCAACACCACUCUCAGCAAGGAGAUCUGCUGGAAGUGAUGUGCUCUCUCACUCUCACUCAUAAUUUUAACAUCACAAAUAUAAAUUCCCACUGAGCCCAUGAUAAAAUGCAAUGUGAAUUGUGUCGUACUUCUGAAUGAAACUGUGAGGAGAUGCACUCAGACCAGCCUUUGUGAUUGAACUUAUGUUAACCUCAUUACUUUAGUUGGCUGCUUUGAGCAAAACUUAAAUGUAAUAUAGCCUAUUCUAGGAGCCUAUUGUUUGUGUAUGAUCUUUAUUCACUGUUCACUUGUUUUUCAACAAGAUCAAGUACGGGCAGGGAUGACUGGGGCCUUCAGCAAGUAAGACACGGGAUAAGAAAUCAUUUCAACAUCACAGAUAGAAAUUCCCACUGUGCCCAUAAUAAAGUUAACUACAUUACUUUAGUUGUCUGCUUUGAGCAAAACGUGUAUGUAAUAUAACCUAUUCUGGGAGGUGUGUGUGUGUGAACUAUAUGGAAUAUUUCUGGACCUUUUGGCUUCUCUGAAAACACGUACUGGCAGGAGGAGCAAUGUGAGUGAGGUCGUCGUGCUGGAUGGUGAUGGAGGCUUUGGUGGUCCACACAACGAAGAAGCAGGUGUUCCUUCCUGUGAUGUGGAGCUGACCUUUGACCUGGUGCCAGUGAGGGAGGUCUUCCCUCCUUGAUUUAAAAAUCCUCAGACUUCACUGCCUCUUCAAUGGUAAGGUCCCUUGCACCAUAGGGACACUUGAUCUACACCACUGCUGUGGUACACCAGUAGGCGCCCAAGAGCCCCCGACCAAAGCCCUGACUCCUGCACAUCCAUCCCUGUAGUCAUUUUGAAUACCUUGAUGCCCUCCUCUUCAUUAUCUGCCCCACUUUAGAGACAGUACCCCAUCCAAUGACUGAUCUGAGAACCCUUUUGUAGCAGCGAUGUAGUAACGCGCUUGGCCUAACCACUGUUCCAUAAUUGCUGGCUGUCAACUUCCCUCCUCAUGGUGUGUCAGUUGGGGUUGGUGCACUGUCCAACUGUUGCCUGCCGUAUAGCCUCCCGCUGCUACACUGACAGCGCCAUGCCAGACAGGAUGGCUGCAUGCCCUUGUUUUUUAUUUUAUUUUUUUAAACAAUGUCCGGUAUGGACAGGGAUCACGGGGAGGGUAGCGGUUGUUCUGGCUCAGGUUCAAGGAGACAUGCUAUUCCACUGAACCUGCCACGAAGAUGGUUUCUUAGCCAUUGAAGAUCCUCCUCGGUGGGCUCUCGGGACAGAAGGUUGUAGUCUUCAACUGGGUACAGGUCCUCCACUGACUGUACCUGGUUGGGCACGGCUGUCUUCCUCCACUCGCAUUCCACGUCCGUACGGACGAUAUUGUGAACCGCCAAAAUUGGCUGCAUCGCUACACUUACGAGCUCCACGGAGGCGUUU